UAAUUAUGCAAUAGAUGCGGGCUUUGUUUUGUGUUGGGCCUUACCUUUUUUUCUGAAAGAACCAGCCCAAACGUGAUAUUAGGAUUCUUCCAAAUUUUUUUUCCUCCGCCGUUCCAGAGCGUAUGUUGAUUGAAGAAUCUCAACGUAGGGAUUUGAACGUGUCGUUUCAUCUUCUUUUCACAAUCCGAAACGCUCAGUCACUGAUUCGUCACCUUAAUCCACUUCUUAACUCUAUCAACCACGAUCUAGCCUCAAUGCGAGUUUCUCUUAUGCAAGGCAGUCUAUCUGCGACUAUAAAAAGAGAAAUCUAAAGACUCUCAUCUAUCGAUUUGACUGAAUCGUGCAUCUCCACCGUCAAAGUGCGUCUCAUCAGAUUCUGGGAGGCUCUCCCUCUCUCUUUGAUCAUCUCCCUGCCAGAUUAAAUGAUGUGGAGAGAUGGCACGAAAGAUAUGUUUCUUCAAAGACCAAAUAUCAAAGGUGGAGUUUCUCCCAAAGAGUUUAUAGACAAAUAUGUGCUUGGAUGAUGUUGAGGUCAAGCUUGGAGAGCUAGAAGCUGAACUUUCGGUAAUCAAGGUCAUAGUCAAAACGCUGUAGUGGCUAUCGACAGUAGCAUCCUUAGUGUCUUACAUAUGGCAACUCUUCCAAAGUUCUAUUUUUAGAAUUAUGUUACGGCUGGAGAGCAAAGACUUUGAUCUAUUGUUAUUGUCUCAAACAUCGUUAGAUAUAUAUGAAAGAUUCUGUAACUAAGGAUGUUAUGAAAGAUAUACUGGAGAGCUUUACAAGAGUAUUUCAAGGUUUAGCUUUUAAGAGCAUCAUUAUCCCAACAAUUCAUAAUAGGUUGCUUAGUUAUAUAAUAAUAAUAUUUAAGGAGUUUUUUUGGGUAAACAACUUAUCU